AAAAAGUUUUGAAUUAAAAAAAAAACAACUCUUCUCACUGCUAAUCCAGAGUUGCCCUUGCUCAUGCUACUUAGAAUAAGGUCAGUCAGAGAAACUGUAAAAAACACUGUUGGCCAGACUGCCCUUUCUUCUCAAAUAGCCUCCACUGAAAAUACUGCUACCAAGACUACUGUAAAGAAACAAACCAAGAAAAACCAACACUUUAGAGUGCAUUCAUUGAGAACUUCAAUACAUUUUCCUGAAGAAAUGGAAGUGUUCAAAGAUGGCUGGCCAACAGUGAAUUCCAGCCAGGAAUAACAGAAUAGGGCUCUGGUUCUUUUUUUGUUAUUUUUUUGGAAGCAGGACCAUGAUUAAGAGCAGUAGCUGGGGCAUUCAUAUUGUGCCACUUGAACUGGAAUUCUUGGAUCAGUGCAAGAUGAACUAAAGCAAAAGCAUUUGCCAAGAAUGUUGUCAUUAAUCAAAAACAAAAGCUGGAGGCUUGUGGCCAACUCAUUAUCUGGUGAUGUUACUCCCAUCACCCUCCAGGCAGCUGACAGAACACCCGUCUUUGGGUU
rnacentral:ncRNA from 1 species